AGCAGCGCCGCGGUAAUACAGAGGGUGCGAGCGUUAAUCGGAUUUACUGGGCGUAAAGCGUGCGUAGGCGGCUUUUUAAGUCGGAUGUGAAAUCCCUGAGCUUAACUUAGGAAUUGCAUUCGAUACUGGGAAGCUAGAGUAUGGGAGAGGAUGGUAGAAUUCCAGGUGUAGCGGUGAAAUGCGUAGAGAUCUGGAGGAAUACCGAUGGCGAAGGCAGCCAUCUGGCCUAAUACUGACGCUGAGGUACGAAAGCAUGGGGAGCAAACAGGAUUAGAUACCCCUGUAGUCCCUGUCUCUUAUACA
rnacentral:rRNA from 1 species